rnacentral:rRNA from 1 species
AUGAUAUUAAAUAGCCGCAGUAUAUUGACUGUGCAAAGGUAGCAUAAUCAUUAGUUUUUUAAUUGAGGGCUGGAAUGAAUGGUUAGAUGUAAUAUAAUCUAUUUUAUUAUUAUUUAUUGAAUUUAAUUUUUGGGUAAAAAAGCUUAAAUUUAGAUUUGGGACGAUAAGACCCUAUAGAAUUUGAUUUUUUUUUGUGUUAGGUAAUGUUGGGAGAAGAUGAUGUGCGAUAAUAUUUUAUUGGGGUGAUAAAAGGAUAUGGUUAACUCUUUGUUAUGAAAUAUGUAGUUAAUAGAUUGUAUUGUGAUCCAUUAUUAAUGAAUGUAAGAGAAAUUACCUUAGGGAUAACAGCGUAAUUUCUUUUGAGUC